rnacentral:rRNA from 1 species
AAUCAACGCUGGCGGCGUGCCUCAGACAUGCAAGUCGAACGCGAAAGUUUCCUUCGGGGAACAAGUAGAGUGGCGCACGGGUGAGUAACACGUAGGUAAUCUACCUUUGGAUGGGGAAUAACAACCGGAAACGGUUGCUAAUACCGCAUAAUGCAGCGGCACCUAAUGGUGACAGUUGUUAAAGCGGGGGAUCGAAAGACCUCGCGUCUGAAGAGGAGCCUGCGGCGGAUUAGCAGUUGGUAAGGUAAUGGCUUACCAAGGCUACGAUCCGUAACCGGCCUGAGAGGGCGGUCGGUCACACUGACACUGACAUACGGGUCAGACUCC